UACGUAGGGUGCGAGCGUUAAUCGGAAUUACUGGGCGUAAAGCGUGCGCAGGCGGUUUUGUAAGCCAGAUGUGAAAUCCCCCGGGCUUAACCUGGGAAUGGCAUUUGGGACUGCAAGGCUCGAGUGCGGCAGAGGAGACUGGAAUUCCUGGUGUAGCAGUGAAAUGCGUAGAUAUCAGGAGGAACACCGAUGGCGAAGGCAGGUCUCUGGGCUGACACUGACGCUCAUGCACGAAAGCGUGGGGAGCAACAAG
rnacentral:rRNA from 1 species